UUUGUCAGACUUCAUUAAAAACGCACCCAAAAAUCCUCUGAACGGACGUCAGGUGUUAAGCGGAGGGGAUCCGGAAAUCAGAUAGUGGAAUGCAGGUGUCGGCAGAUGAGUGGACGCUCGUUUGACGUUGCACCGUAGAAGCACUUUCGGUGUCAAGAGCUUCAGUUUGAACCGAUCGGUUUCGGGUUCUGAACUGUUUGAAGAAUUGUUGAGCGUUGAGGGUAGAAGGAAUUGUAGUCAGGCGAGCCGUAUUCUGUCUCUAGGAACGUUCGUUCACGCUCAGAGAAGGAGACGAGCUGCUGGAAGAGGCGCUGGAGGAAGAAAGCUUAGUAGAGGUAGAAGUUAAGACUGAACAGUAUGACGUUCGGUCAGUACUUUAGUUUGAUUGUAAGGUAGUCGUUCGAUCACCUUUCCCCUUUGUUUUGGUAUGACCGUUCGGUCAGACUUGCUUAUACUGUACCGUUUAAAUUUGUAACUCUUUCUGUAAGGCCGUUCGGCCAUAACCGUACGCUCUCUUUUAGUGUAAGACUGAUCUAAAUCAUUAUUAAAUGUGAUUAUUCUACUA